rnacentral:rRNA from 1 species
AUGCAGGAUUUGUUCUACUAUGGAAUGACUACUUCAAAGAAAGUCCUCGCUAUCCCGAAAACUUAUUUCGGCGAAGAAGCUACUAAUCUAGAGGCUUGCAAGAAGUUUGUGAUCAAAAUUUGUGAAGUCUUUGGGGACCAAUACCUGAGAUCUCCAAAUGAAGAAGAUACUACAAGAUUACUUGCAAUAGGGGAGGAAAGAGGAUUCCCUAGUAUGUUAGGGAGUAUAGAUUGUAUGCACUGGGGUUGGAAAAGUUGCCUAAGAAAAUGGCAUGGCAUGUUUAAAGGUCAUGUGAAAGAGCCCACAAUGAUCUUGGAAGCAGUUGCUUCCCAAGAUCUUUGGAUUUGGCAUGCUUUCUUUGGUUUACCAGGGUCAAACAACGAUCUGAAUGUUCUUCAACGUUCUCAUGUGUUUGCAAAGCUAGCUGAAGGUGAAGCUCCAGAAGUGAAUUAUACCAUUAAUGGUCAUCAAUACACAAUGGGGUAUUACCUUGCAGAUGGCAUAUAUCCACGAUGGGCAACAUUUGUGAAGACCAUACCAUCUCCACAAACAAGAAAGAAGAAACAUUUUGCCCAAAGGCAAGAGGCGGCUAGAAAGGAUGUGGAACGAGCCUUUGGAGUUCUGCAAUCCCGUUUUGCCAUUGUUCGAGGACCUGCGAAAGGAUGGAAACGUAAAGAAAUCGGUGAUGUCAUGAAAGCUUGUGUCAUAAUGCAUAAUAUGAUAGUUGAAGACGAACGACACACUGGUUAG